CCCACACCCAUGUGUGUAGGAUCCCAAAGGAUCACCAUUAAAUUUGGCACAGAUAUCUAGAAAAGUUAUAAUAUGGGUGUGAGACUUGACUUUUCUAGAGAUCUAUGCCAAAUUUAAUGGUGAUCUUUUGGGGUCCUACACACAUGGGUGUGGG
rfam:Amborella trichopoda AMTR_V1.0_contig_10896, whole genome shotgun sequence.